ensembl:snRNA U6 U6 spliceosomal RNA
GGGCUCGCUUUGGCAACACACAUACUAAAAUUGGAACAGUGCAGAGAAGAUUAGCAUGACGCAUGCACAAGGAUGACAUGCAUAUUCGUGAAGCGCUCAGUAUUUAA